rnacentral:lncRNA from 1 species
CCAAUUCCAACGACUUCAACGGUCGCAUCCCCAAAAUUGACACUACAAAACUCCGAUACCUUUACGAGCUGGACUUGAGCAACAACAAGCUACAUGGUGAGUUCCCAUACGAAGUCCUCGCCGCCAAGCAGCUCACCUUCCUGGACCUCCGGUUCAACUCAUUCUCUGGCGUGGUUCCGCCGCACGUCUUCAUACUAGAUGUGGACGUUAUUUUCAUAAAUGACAACAAUUUCAUACAGCAGCUCCCGGAAAAUAUAGGGGACACGCCAGCCCUUUACCUCACUUUUGCCAAUAACAAGUUUACAGGCCCCAUCCCACGCAGCAUCGGCCGAUCCAAAAACCUUCUCGAGGUCCUUUUCCUCAACAACCAGCUGUCAGGGUGCUUGCCCUACGAGAUAGGAUAUUUGAAAGACGCCACAGUGUUUGACGUUGGUUUCAAC